rnacentral:rRNA from 1 species
UACGUAGGGCGCAAGCGUUAUCCGGAAUUAUUGGGCGUAAAGAGCUCGUAGGCGGUUUGUCGCGUCUGCCGUGAAAGUCCGGGGCUCAACUCCGGAUCUGCGGUGGGUACGGGCAGACUAGAGUGAUGUAGGGGGAGACUGGAAUUCCUGGUGUAGCGGUGAAAUGCGCAGAUAUCAGGAGGAACACCGGUGGCGAAGGCGGGUCUCUGGGCAAUAACUGACGCUGAGGAGCGAAAGCGUGGGGAGCGAACAGG